GAGGGUAUAGCUCAAGUGGUAGAGUGCAUGCUUAGCAUGCACAGGUUCCUAGGUUCAAUUCCCAGUUCCUCCU
rnacentral:tRNA from 1 species